rnacentral:misc_RNA from 1 species
UAAAAAUUUACGGAAGGAUUCUGUUUUUAAGUGUAUCAUAUUUCGAAAUUGUAUUUAUUUCUAUUCGGCGCGCGCCAAAAUUUAUCCGGACAUAAUGUACGCUGCAUCUAUCCUCUCUUUUAAGGAACUUAGAACGCGUUAUUUGAAAUUCCGCAAUAUAUACUAGCAUUCUCAGAAACAUCGUGUCAUAUGAUCUGACAAUUCUACUAACUUUUCAGUCAAUUUCCAUCAAACUUUAUUCCGCUACAGUCUGCAUAUUCAUGCAUAUUCGAGAUGAGAGUCAUUUAACAACAUAUUUAUAAUAAAGUGUCAGCACGAAAAUGUCGUGCCAAAUCAAAGGAAUCGCUAAUUUGGUCGAUUUGCCCAACGUCAAGAAUUCCUUACUCAGAGAUGCUGGCUCCAAACUGGAUUAUGUACCGGAUAAAGAACUGCCUCUUCAAGAUCUUAUUAUCUCCUUAUCACCAGCAGGGGAUGUCCUCGCAAUUGCUUGGAAUAAAAAUAUGGUCAUUCUGACGUCAAAAUGGGAUUCGCAUGAACCUGGAGAUGUGAAAAUGAAAUUUCAUCUUACAUGGAGUGGAGAUGUAACGGAUGAGGAGAAUGAACAGAUAACAUGUCUGGCAUGUCUACCUCUUAUAUCUUUAGGCAAAACCAGUGCUGGUAGCGGUCCUGAUUGGACCUGUAUGGCCGUUGGAUUUUCUAGUGGGUUUAUAAGGUUCUAUACAGAGACUGGUGCAUUGUUGAUUGAUGAACAGCUUCACAAUGAAGCAGUUUUGGGAAUCAAAUGUCAAUCACAUUCUCCUUCCCGGCAUGUUGGAGAUUCUGUACUAUCCGAAGAGGUCCAUGUACUGUAUAACAGUGCAGUUUGCAUAAUGCAAGGGUUUCCGCUGUUUUCUACCUUGAGAGCAUGCAGAAACCACUUGGCUAGAGUGCAGGCCAAUUGCAAUGCUAAGCCUCCGGCAGCAAAUCUUUCAUAUAAAAAAUGGGGCUUUAAGAACCAAGGAAUCACAAAUGACAGUGAAGUCAUUGGUACAACAUCCGUAGACACCUUUGACCAUUUGAUGUCUGCGUCUAUUUGUGGUGGCUAUAAUGCUGCGUAUCGCUCUAGUGCACCACAACACAGUCUAGUUAUGGCAACUGGCAAAAGACCAUUUAUUGGUUUUCAUUACGCAUUGGAAGGUGGGGCUGCUCCAGUUUUAUCUGACGUCGCGAUUGCUAUGGCUAGCAAAUUAGCAAGUGCAAUAGGAACUGCUGUUCCAUGGUUUCGUGGAAACAAAAAAACUCCUACAUCGCCAGAAAAGACCAAAGGAGUUAUAAGCGAACCAGCAGAACCAAUGAUCUGCAGAUUUGGUUUGAGCGAUAUUAUGAGAGAAGGGGAUUGCAUUGUCGUAAGCCCUAAUAGGGCUCUAUCUAUCGUAUCAGAUGCUAUGGGGAGAGUUACGUUGGUUGAUAACAGACGUGGUGUUGCUGUAAGAAUGUGGAAAGGGUAUAGGAAUGCUCAAUGUGGGUGGAUUGAAGUUAUGGAGGAGAAAAACAAUGGAUCUCGCAAAAGUCGUGGCAGCAGCAGUAGCAGUAGUAGUGGUAAUGUUCACGGUCGGCGAAUUGCCUUAUUUUUGACUAUCUAUGCACCAAAGAAAGGAGUAAUUGAUAUUUGGGGAAUUCAACAAGGACCCAAAAUUGCAACCUUUUCUGCCAGUAAAAAUGGACGGCUGCUAUACACAAAUUACGGUCUUCUGGGUUUAAAUGAUAUGACGAUGUCAUCUGCAAACCGUGCGCAGUAUCCUUGUGUGUUUGUUGACCCUUUGGGAGGUCUGAAAGAAGUGAUUGUUCCAUUUCACUUCGCUCUGAGUAGUAAAAAUGGAAAAAGGGCUCGAGACUUACAUCUGCUCAAAAAAUUGAAAGCAUUUCUAAGGGAGGAAGAGUUUGACAGUGAGAAAUUAAUUAACGAAGUUACUUCUACAUGUAUGGAUUUCAAAACGAACGAAAUUCGCCUGCAGGCUGUAGAAAUGUUGAUGGUCAACAAGCAUAUCACCCCCGAAUCACUACUAGCAGCAUUGGACGUAUUUGUUGAAAACCUAUCGCAAUAUAAAGACGAUGAGUUUGAACCAGCUGCCAAAUCCCUUUAUCAAACCUCGACGCGGCUCCAAAGAGUUAUUGCGUUUUACAAAUCUGUUUACCUGCAAUUCAAUCAACCUCCUGAGUACAAUACCAUCGCUUCAGAUAGCUUGCCUAGUUGUAAACAGUUAUCGGGAAUUCUUUUAGCAUCUGAAAGAGAGAUACGACGUAUUUUAAAGUUAUCAAAGACGCUGAGUGAAUUCGAAAAGCCAAAAAGUAGAUCACAAACUAAGGUCCUAUUCAAAGAAGAUGGCAGUGCAUUUGUGGAUUUUCUAUCUUGCUUUGAAUUUGGUGGUUCAGGAGAUUUUAUUGGCAUAAAAAAAGACGUACCGGAAGAAAAGAAACACAACAUUUGUCAAUUGUUGUAUCAGGGCUGGUUGUAUUCAGAUGAUCCGAUUACAAAUUGGCAGAAUGUAGCUCUACACAGUUGCAUUCAGCCAGCUAUUCUAAUGCAAUUUGCACUUAUUUAUUGGUUGCAUAAAAAACCUGGGGCCCCACUGGAAGUCGAAUUGAAACGAUUCAAACAACUUCUUCACGCAAUUUGUUCUCUGAUAGAGGUAGAAGAAAUUUGUGUUGAAUAUAAUGAGAUAUCUUCGUGGUGGCAAGAAAUGCGAAAUAUAUUGUCAGACUCGACAAAUCCGUUCAAUGCACUGACAGCUGCGAUGGUUUGUAGAGCAGUGGCAAUGAAGCUUGAAAAAAGCAAAGAUACAGCAUACAACAGUGAACAGAAGGAUGGUAAUGGUAACAAGGAUGAAGAUGCAGAGAAUGGGAAUACUAGUGAAAAGAUGGAGGACUUAGAUGAAGAGCUUAAUAGAACCCCAGAAGAAGAGAAUUCCAGUUCAACAAGUGAUUGGGAAAAUGUAAGCAAAGAUACUUGCCAAUUUACAGCCCUUAUCAGCAAUCUCGAAGAUAUAGCUAUAUUAAAUGCUAUUGUCAGUCAAAAGCCACCAUCAGACCACACAACAGAAUUUUUCAGUCUGCCAUUUGAAAGUAUGAAUAUUUCUUUGGGCUAUGUUCUCUCCAGAGGCAAAGGUUCAGUAUCAGAAAUCGUUGCCAAGUGGCUUAGUUCAACGGGAAUUGAUCCAGCUCGUUUGAUAGACACAACAGAUGUGGAGUUUGAUCAAAUGCAAUUGUCAAUGGAUUCUUUAAAAAUAGCAGAAUCGUUAGAUGAAGCUGCAGCAAUGGAACUAUCGCAGCAAGACCAAAUGAAACUUCUCUCCGUUUCUGUAGAACUUGGUAGUGAAGCGCAAGCAGAUUCAACUGCACAAAGUUACAUUCUAGAAAAAUUAACUGUAUUGAAGAAAUCUUUCCCGUACAGUCUAACGACUAGUGUUUUGCUUGCUAAUCUUUGUUGGGAAUUUACUAUGACUUGGAAUAAGGAUGUCACGCAACUUGAUGCGCUUGAAGCAGCUUUAGCUGUUCUUAGACAAAUUCCUAUGAAGCAAAUGCGACAAGGAGUUUGCUGCCUUCUUUGGACACUGCACAUGAAAAAAAGGAUGGAGGCGGCAGCAAAACUGAUGAACAAGUCGGGAAAGUUGCCAAAAGAAAGAUAUUGUUUACAGGACGUUGGUGUUUCUGAUAUGCAACUAAUUACACUACUACAACUCUGUGUUAUGUUCUUGGAUAUAUUUCUAGACGCAGAAGUGAUGGAAAUUGAGAAUAGUUCGAUUAUAAAAUCAGAAGAAAUUUGGGAAAGUCAUCCCAUAGGUCCGCAACCCUUCGCAGCUCUAGCACUUUCUCAAACUCCUGCUUGGUAUGAACUCGUGAUGCUACAUCUGCAAUUGGCUAACGUCUUGCACAUGAUGGCUUACUUUAAUCUGAAAGUACAAAAGCCUUUGAACAUUCUUUUCGACUCUGUGUCGCAUCCAUAUUUUUUCCAAGACAUUACCAACAAAGCAUUGCUGACGUGGUUUCGAGAUGAAAAACGCGAUAGUGCAAGAACCGAGUUUCUUUGUCGUGUAAUCACUGCCACUAUGGACUCGAUUCAUCAAGAAACGACGGAAGAAAACAACUUUAGCUCUACGCAAGCUAUUACCUGGAUGAGCAAGUGUCAAACACUAGCUUCUAUAUGGAAAAUAAAUAACGAUGAGCUGAGAAUUCACCAAGUUUGUCAAUUAUAUAUUAACGGAUUUGACCGAUUGGCUGAAGAGCUGGAAGAAGAAUGAUGGCUUACCUAUCCAAAACGCCAGAUCUUCUGGAAGAAAUAUCAAGAAUAAGUCCUACGCUAACUACAUAUCUCGAGGGCUUGUGUAAUCCAAGCGCAGCAUAUACAAGUUGUUCAAAUAGCGAUACCAUAGAACUUAUUCAAAGGGUUUCAAGGACUUUACCUGAAACAUAUCCUAAUUAUCACAUCGCGCAACUGAUGCUUGAUGCUACGUUUAUUUAUGAAGGUAAAACGUGAUGAGCUAGUCUUUACUUCUGUCAACAAAGUAUUAAAACCACAGACGUGAA